UCUGUCCUUAGAAGUGUUACAGGUGUGGCUGCCAUGUCACAUAUGCGUCCUUAGAUGGCAGAUAGGAAGGAGGCUAUGUCUGUGAUUAGUUUUCUGGCCUCCGAAUAUCUAAUUGAUUAGUAGCCUAAAAUU